rnacentral:ncRNA from 1 species
GAGAGCCGUGCGCGGAAAAACCGCACACACGGUUCGGAGGUAGGGUCGGGGAAACUCCUCCCUACCCCUAU